rnacentral:misc_RNA from 1 species
UUUCCGUAGGUGAACCUGCGGAAGGAUCAUUAUUGUAUAACAGAGGUGCGAGGGCUGUCGCUGACCAGAAAGGACGUGUACGCCUGAGUGCCCUCACAAACCUCCAUCUCACCGCUCUGUGGACCCCCGAGAGGCUCCCCCACUGGCUUGCUCGGAGGGGGGCUUACGCUUUCCCACAAACUUUGAAUGCUGUGAAGAAUGUAUUUUUUUUUUUUGCCAAUAAGCAACCAAUAAAACUUUAAACAACGGAUUCUCUGCCUCCCGCACCGAUGAAGAACG